rnacentral:rRNA from 1 species
GACAGAGGUGCCAAGCGUUAGGCGGAAUCACUGGGCUUAAAGCGUGUGUAGGCGGACUUGUAAGUACCUUGUGAAAUCCCACGGCUCACCCGUGGAACUGCUGGGCAUACUGGCGAUCUUGGGCCAACUAGGGGCAGUCGGAACAAGCGGUGGAGCGGUGAAAUGCGUAGAUAUCGCUUGGAACGCCGAAGGUGAAAACAGACUGCUGGGGUUGCGCCGACGCUGAGACACGAAAGCCAGGGGAGCAAACGGG